UAAAGAUCAGGUCUCAAAAUUGUAUAACUAAAACUCCGAAUGUACAUCUCGCUUUUCUAAUUAUCUGGAUCAUUUUUUUUUAUAAAAAACGAAAAACAAGAAACGGUUGAGUACUGGGUUCUAAGAAAGAAACAAAGCAGCAACGCUAGAAUUUAAAUAAUAAUUGUGGUGAAGAUUUAUACUUUGAACUUUACAUAAGUUCUGCUUAUUUCUUCUGUUCUGCUUACAGAUCGAUUUUACAGAGUACAUCAUAGCUGGUCACAUUUAAUUUUAUCUGCAAACCUCAGUGUAUCAAGAUUUCUAUAUAGAUCAUCACAUCUGGUCUGUUUUUGCCUACAUUCUACAAAGAUUUUAACUGCUGAUGAUAAGCUGAAAACCUUUCUUCCAACAUUCUGUUGUAGUAGAGCUAUGCAGCUUCCAUGGAUUUGUAUUCCUAGUCAGAUGUCAUGGAAUGAUUUCUGAGGCUACUUUACAAUUCUUAUGAUGAUAUUUGCUUCAUUUGUUCACAUGUGAUCCAUGGAUGCAUUUCAACAUUUGAUGAUUGAAUAUCUCUUGCCAUGGACCUUCAUGAAAAUGAAGACACACCAGUAUGGUGAAACAAAGAUUUCACCUCCAAGAUACUAAUGACAUUUCAAUGAAAAACACAGCUCC